rnacentral:lncRNA from 1 species
GAACCAUGGGGCGGAAGGGAGAGCGGCCUGAGGGGGGGGCGAAACCAUUCGCUCCAGGGAGAGGGGAAGACCAGAGAAAUGAGGCUGAUAGAGGGUAAAAACACUCAAAGAGGAUAUCCUUCCCCCCCUCAGUCUCAGAGAGAGACCCCUAAGGCAGCACUUUAUGCCGUCUUUGGGCCGCCUUGUUUCCCCCGGCGGUAUCCUCAYCGAUCCGGAUCCCGGCGCUCACCAGCCAGCCGCUCAGGGAAUACAAGCCACUGCCUUUGCUGUGCGGCACAUGUUGCCUUUAUUUCUCUCCCAGCUCGUGGCCGGGGAAGCCGAAACGCCGGGAGGGCGGGUUAGAAGGGAAAAAAGAAAAAAAAAGGAGGGGAAAAAAGACAAAAACAAGGUGUUUCCGCCCGGGAUCGAACCGGGGACCUUUCGCGUGUGA